GGGCCCGUGGUCUAGUGGUAUGAUAUCGCCUUGACGUGGCGGAGAUCGUGGGUUCGAUUCCCACCGGGCCCA
rnacentral:tRNA from 1 species